UGGGCAACUACCCUUCCGGGCCGGAAAGUUAUCCAAACUCGGUCAUUUAGAGGAAGUAAAAGUCGUAACAAGGUCUCCGUUGGUGAACCAGCGGAGGGAUCAUUA
rnacentral:rRNA from 1 species